AAUGGACGCAAGUCUGAGGCAGCAACACCGCGUGGAGGAUGAAGGCUUUCGAGUUGUAAACUCCUUUUCUGGGGGAAGAGAAAGGACGGUACCCCAGGAAUAAGUCUCGGCUAACUACGUGCCAGCAGCCGCGGUAAAACGUGGGAGGCGAGCGUUAUCCGGAUUUACUGGGCGUAAAGCGCAUGCAGGCGGUUUUCUAAGUCGGACGUGAAAGCUCCUGGCUCAACUAGGAGAGGCCGUUCGAAACUAGGGAACUUGAGGGUGGUAGAGGUGAGUGGAAUUCCAGGUGUAGUGGUGAAAUGCGUAGAUAUCUGGGGGAACACCAGUGGCGAAAGCGGCUCACUGGGCCAUACCUGACGCUCAGAUGCGAAAGCUAGGGGAGAGAACGGGAUU
rnacentral:rRNA from 1 species